CUUUGACCAUUUUCAGAUCCUACGGGCCAUUGGUAAAGGGAGUUUUGGGAAGGUCUGCAUCGUGCAGAAGCGAGACACUAAGAAAAUGUACGCAAUGAAGUAUAUGAACAAGCAGAAGUGCAUCGAGAGGGACGAAGUUCGGAACGUCUUCCGGGAGCUCCAGAUCAUGCAGGGGCUGGAGCAUCCUUUCUUGGUCAAUCUGUGGUACUCCUUCCAGGACGAGGAGGACAUGUUCAUGGUGGUGGACCUACUGCUGGGAGGGGACCUACGUUAUCACCUGCAACAGAAUGUACAUUUCACAGAGGGGGCCGUGAAGCUCUACAUCUGCGAGCUGGCCCUGGCCCUGGAGUAUCUGCAGCGGUAUCACAUCAUCCACAGAGACAUCAAGCCAGACAACAUACUGCUGGAUGAACACGGACAUGUUCACAUCACAGACUUCAACAUAGCGACGGUCGUGAAAGGCACAGAGAAGGCUUCCUCCAUGGCCGGGACCAAGCCCUACAUGGCCCCGGAAGUGUUCCAGGUGUAUGUGGACGGAGGCCCUGGGUACUCCUACCCCGUUGACUGGUGGUCCCUGGGUGUCACGGCCUAUGAGCUGCUGCGGGGCUGGGUAAGAUGUGCGCCUGUGUGGUGAACGCGAGGGCUGUGGAAGUGGGGGGCUCAGCUUCUACCAGGCUUGG